UUAUUGGAGAGUUUGAUCCUGGCUCAGGAUGAACGCUGGCGGCGUGCCUAAUACAUGCAAGUCGAGCGAAUGGAUUAAGAGCUUGCUCUUAUGAAGUUAGCGGCGGACGGGUGAGUAACACGUGGGUAACCUGCCCAUAAGACUGGGAUAACUCCGGGAAACCGGGGCUAAUACCGGAUAACAUUUUGAACUGCAUGGUGCGAAAUUGAAAGGCGGCUUCGGCUGUCAC
rnacentral:rRNA from 1 species